GAUACGGGCGAUCAGCCUUUGGCGGCGGAAUAGCGGCGUUUCUGGCUUUGGCGCAGUUGACAUUUUCAUGACGGGCCUCUAAAGACCGCGCCAAGCACCGGGCAGUAAUGUCCGGUGUUUCAUUUGACAUGUCCCGUGGAUCGUUUCUGUUCGCGUAACCGAAACAUCCUGUCAGGUCUCGGCAGAGGUCAGAGGAGGGCGUGUUUCCUUCGCGCGGUUUGGCAACAAGCCGCCAUAAACCUUUGAAAGGAAAUACGA
rnacentral:sRNA from 1 species